ACUAUUCACUCUGGCAAAACCCUUGCACUGUGCACGAAUUGCAGAAUUUUCCUGUUGGUGCAACAUCACAACAACAAACACACGCAAACAAUUAUUUGCAAUGGCUGUAAAAUAUGUCAGACCAAAACCUAUGUUUAUUUUCGUGCAAUGACACGUAAAAUUGCAACCCUGUUUUAUCUGUCCUUUUACAUAGAGUCAUAUUUCGCUGUUAAAUUGUUGAGAAAGGUAAGUUUUAAAUAUAUUUUUUUAAUUUCUACUUAAAUUAUACAGAUUUGUUACAGUUUUUUGUUAAGAAUGAAGGUGCGCUAAUUCACAAUAGUCAUGCACAAUAGCCAUUCUCAAUAAAUCGACCGAAUCAGCCGUUCAUAUAUCACUAGAUUCUGCAAUGGGUGCUCUCUUGGCCUUGCAUAUUUCAGUAUAGGAUUUUUGCAUUUUGUAUCAUCGUGCAAUCUACAAGAGCAAAUUUUCAUUCUGUGCGUAGCAUACUCUGUCAAAAUGUUCUUCAAUUGGACAAAAUGAACGAAAAAAUGUAUUAAAUCCAUCCAAUUCAACAGAAAUGUAUCUCAUUAAAACAGUACCGAAAGUUUUAUUUGAUUGUUCUCGCAUUCUAUAUUUAACUGCCGUAUCGACAUCGUAAAAAACCAUACACAUCUAGGUAUAACUUGGCGUACAUAGGCUGCAAUAUACAUAUAUUUCUGGACUAGGCAACACUAAGUGUUGCCAGGUGCAAUCUGACAUUUCCAUUGGAAAGUUUGACAUUUUUUAGCAUAACAUCACUCAGAACGUUUUGUCAUUUAAUAGUGAAUUGUUUUAUUUACAGGGAAUUAAAAAAUUCAUCUCGACCAAAAAAUGGAAUUAACUCGUGAACAUUUUUGUGCGAUCAUUUUUCACAACUUUCGACGUGGAUUAUCACGACAAGAGUGCAUCGAUGAACUAAAAUCUUUGUAUGGCUAUGAAGCACCAUCCUAUAGCACUGUGAAAAACUGGUACAACGAAUUCAAUCGUGGCCGACGCUCGCUCAAAGACGAAUUCCAUGAAGGUCGUCCAAAAACAUCCGUUGUGCCAGAAAACAUCGAUGCCGUACGUGAACUGAUAAUGCAAGACCGUCAUGUAACAUACCUUCAGAUAGAGGCAUGCCUAUGCAUUUCUCCCACCAGCAUACAUUCGAUAUUGCAUGAACACCUGGCCGU